rnacentral:rRNA from 1 species
UACGUAGGGUGCAAGCGUUGUCCGGAAUUAUUGGGCGUAAAGAGCUCGUAGGCGGCUCGUCACGUCGGCUGUGAAAACCCGGGGCUCAACCCCGGGCCUGCAGUCGAUACGGGCGAGCUAGAGUUCGGCAGGGGAGACUGGAAUUCCUGGUGUAGCGGUGAAAUGCGCAGAUAUCAGGAGGAACACCGGUGGCGAAGGCGGGGCUCUGGGCCGAUACUGACGCUGAGGAGCGAAAGCGUGGGGAGCGAACAGG